UCCGUGUUAACCACGGCAGUCUCCUUAGAGAGCCCAACUUAAUGCUGGCAACUAAGGACAAGGGUUGCGCUCGUUGCGGGACUUAACCCAACAUGUCACCACACGAGCUGACGACAGCCAUGCAGCACCUGUCAUCUGGUUGUAUUGCUACAAAGUACGUAUCUCUACGUCGGUCCAGAGAUGUCAAACCCAGGUAAGGUUCUUCGCGUUGCUUCGAAUUAAACCACAUGAUCCACCGCUUGUGCGGGCCCCCGUCAAUUCCUUUGAGUUUUAGUCAUGCGACCGUACUUCCCAGGCGGGGUACUUAUUGCGUUAGCUCCGGCUCGGCAGGGGUCAAAUCCCACCAAGCCUAGUACCCAUCGUUUACAGCGUGGACUAC
rnacentral:misc_RNA from 1 species